rnacentral:lncRNA from 10 species
UUGUGGCAAGUGCCUAAAAGUAGGAGUCAGAGAAACCCAAGUCCGUGAGUUGGCCAAGAGACUGAAAAGACCCUCAAGAGAAAAGACGGGAUGGGAGGAAGGCAGCUGGAAUCACAGCCAAGGCAGCACUACAAUGUGCUGGAACUCCCCAGCAUUCUGACCCAAUGACCUACUUCGUGCAAGGCUGGGAGUGCUGUAGAUUACAGCAAGGUGUAACAACAGAGCCCUAUAAGUGCAAAACACCCUGUGCCUAUGUGCCCUUUUUUGAGAACUACUUGUACUUUAACCAGAUGAUUGGAUUAACAGCAGCGCUUGCCCUAUUGCAGGAAGUGUGACUAUUUUCUCAGAGUAAAACAGGCACUAAUUUUGGGACUUGGCCCUGGCUCACAUAGGAAGGGGGCGGGAGAGUCUGACUCAACUGACAAUGGAAGUCCAGCCAGGAGAGCAAAGAACAAUGUCCUCAGGUAAGGCCAUUAGUGUCUGGCACAUCUGUGGCUUGGUGGUGACUUCCAUUCACCAACCAGCCUGGGUUUUGGGGACAGGCUCUCAGGCCCCAAGGAGAGAGUAGGCAAAUGCAAGGCAAAGCUCUCAAGCCAGAAGAAGUAUGGAGAGUGGGCCUGGCAGUACCGUAUGAACCUGCUGUCUUGAUAUAAUGAUAAAUAACAUGCUUUUUUGUCCUCAACGGGCUCCUACUUAGGACGAUAAAUUAUAUGUCAUUUUCCGCAUGGAAUACUUGGAAGAAUCCCAGAAAAACAACUUUGCAACAGGAACCAAGGCAAAAGCCAGCUUUAUAAACUGGGUCAAGAAAGAAUCCAGGUGGGAACUAUGGCCCACCUUGGAUAGGAAAAGCAGGCUAUCCUUGUAGUUACUAGAAAUCUCAGAGACAGUACUACCCAUAUCCUAUGCAGAAAGCAAUGACGGUCUUUGUCCUUAUUAACAAUGGCACCCGCGAUCCUCCAAAAUGCAGGGGGAGAUAGUCUUCCUAUAUUGGUGUUUCUGUUAUCAGACUCAUCAUUGAGAAUCACUACUAUUUAUCCCUGAAGAAGAGAAUGUUUUGCACAGGGUGUUCUUUCCAAAUAUAUGGACAAGACAGUCUGCUACAUCAUGCAGAGGUUGCAAGUUGCUUAUAAACUAAUUGGAAAGUUAAAUAAUUAUAAAAGAUUUAAAUAGUAGUCCAAGAGAGCAACAGAAGAGUUAUCAAAAACUCAUGCCUGGUUAAUAGUCAAACCAGUUGUGUUAGCUGUAAUGUUUAUGAGAGUUCAAAGAGAAAGUGUAACCGCUUCAGAUUAGGAAGAUAAAAAAAUAUUUCACAGGAAACGGGACAUCAAGUCUUUUUUUUUCUAGACAGAGUCUCACUCUCUCACCCAGGCUGGAGUGCAGUGGCAUGACCUUGGCUCACUGCAACCUCUGCCUCCCGGACUCAAGCGAUUCUCCUGCCUCAGCCUCCAGAGUAGCUGGACUUACAGGUGCGUGCCACCACACCCAGCUAAUUUUUAUAUUUUUAAUAGAGACGGGUUUCACCAUGUUGGUCAAGCUGGUCUUGAACCCCUGAGCUCAGGUGAUCCACCCGCCUCAGCCUCCCAAAGUGCUGGGAUUACAGGUGUAAGCCACCAUGCCCAGCCGGGACAUUAGGUCUUGAAGGACUUCCCAUUUAUUAAGUACUUACUAUUUGCCAAACAUUUUCACAUAUGGAUUAUUAUUUCUUAGAACAAUCCUAUGAAAUAGGCAUUGGUAUCCAUAGUCUACAAAGGAGGGAACUGAGACGCUGAGAGUUUAAGCAACUUUUCCUAGGUCACCCAGCCAGUAAAAAGCAUAGAGGUUCAGACCCAUAUGUAUGUUACUUCAAAGUUUCUGUUUUUUCUGAAGCGGGGGAGUUGGGGGAAGAAAAAGAAAGGAAACCAGAGGCUUCCAGUCAGGUUGAACAAGCUCAGCUAAGUCUAAUAAUGGAAGGUAUAUUUGGAGUUCUCCAAAUAGCCCUAUUUGAUAGGAGUAGAAAUUUCAGGAAAGUGAAAGGGUGGCAUUCCACCUAGAAAGUUAAGGAAGGAGUAGUUUGUGAAAGGCCUUAAAUAGCAGUGCAAAGAGUUGUGGGGAACUAUUUAUGUUUGAGCUUGGCCCUCUAUGCGUGGAGCCAAAGAUAGGGCAUGGAGCUCAGGGUCCUAGGUUGUACCCAUUGAGGUUGAAAGGGCAAGGGCAAGGUUUCUGAUAUCAAAAGAGAAUAUAGGCUAAAACUAGAAGGUACAGAUAACCUGCAAACUAGAAAGGAAAAUAAGAAAUGCUAGUGUCAUGUCAUAUAAGAGCUUUAGAGUCAGUUGAGUUUAGAUCUUGGCUUUCCCACUUAUUAUAUGUAUGACAUUCAGCUGGUCACUCAACAUCUUUCAGAUUCAGUUUCCUAAAUUAUGAAAUAUACCUACUUUAUAUUAGACUUUGUGGUUGACUCCCCCAAAUCCUUUCCACCUCAGUUGAUCCAUCUAAAGCCAUCAUGAUAAUCCCAUUCUCCUUGCUAAUGAUUGGCCCAGGGAUGGCUAAUGAAAUAUGCAGAAGAAUACAAUGGACCGAACUCUGUCGUCCCAAAAUUCCUAUGUUGAAGCUCUAACUCCCAGUGUGAUGGUAUCCGAAGACAGAGCCUUUGGGAGGAAAUUAGGUUUGGAAGAGGUCAUGAGGGUGGGGCCUUCAUGAUGGGAUUAAUGUCCUUGUGAAAAGAGACACCAGAGAACUUGCUUGCUCUCUCCCUCUCUGCCAUGUGAGGACACAAUGAGAAGAUGGCCAUUUCCAAGCCAGAAAGAGAGUCCUCACCUCACCUUACCAGGGUGGCACCCUGCUCUUGGACUUCCAGCCUCCAGAACUGUAAGAAAAUAAAUUUCUGUAUUUUGUUAUGUCAACCUGAGCUGGCUAAUAAAAAGGACUUAAUGGACCCGACAUGGAAGCUCACGCCUAUAAUCCCAGCACUUUGGGAGGCUGAUGCAGGCAGAUGACCUGAGGUCAGGAGCUCGAGACCAGCCUGAUCAACAUGGAGAAACCCCAUCUCUACUAAAAAUACAAAAUUAGACAGGCAUGGUGGCGCAUGCCCGUAAUCCCAGCUACUCGGGAGGCUGAGAGAGGAGAAUCACGAACUCAGGAGGCGGAGGUGGCAGUGAGCCAACAUCAUGCCAUUAACCUCCAGCCUGGGCAACAAGAACGAAACUCUGUCUC